rnacentral:rRNA from 1 species
AUGUCGUGGUCAUCCAGUGCCGGGUCCGCUCCCGGAUUUCGUCGAGCUGCAGGAAGGAGGGGAGGAGGCGCGCUCGCCGUGCGCUACCGCGAGCUCCCAAUGGCAUACGAGCCUCCAGUGAUGUGCCACUGCUCACCUCCGAGGAAGGCGCCAAGAUGGAUCUCCUGGAGCAGGCAGAACCCUGGUAGGAGGUACUAUAGCUGCGUGGAUGCUAUGGUGAGUGUUGUUUUUUUGCCUAAUUUCCUUCCUUUUUCUUCUGUGCAAUAG